GCUGUGCUGUGCGGUGCUGUGCGGUGCUGUGCUGUGCGGAGGCCUCAGGAGGGCGGUGCUGCGGGACUGGCCCGGGCUCGGAGCCGGCCGUGUGCCCUUCUUGUGCCCGCCCGUGACGGCGGAGCGCUGCUCGGCGCUGCGGGAACUCGGAGCGUGGAACUCGUGACGCGCGGACAGGACUUGGGCAGCCUCGUGGGCUUUGUGUUUAAGCCGUCGUUCAUGAAACUCGUGGCACCAUUCUGGAAGCAAAAUGAUGCAUAGAACAGUGCAGUAGCUUCACAGUGUGAUUUAGUGAUGCUUUGGCAAGGGGGCCAUGUAAUUGGUGGGGGGAGAAGUGUUAAUGAGGACGUGUUGUACCCUAUGAAUACCUAAGAAAGGAUUCAUCCCUGUGCUGGCCGGUAGGGAUGUAAUUCCGAGUCCUGUCGCAAAUCCCCAGAACUCACUCUCUGGUGAUGUUACAGAUACAGCUGUGAGGCUGCUUCCAUUCCAGCUGCCUCUUUGCAGCCUGGUAGUCUAUGUACCAGAAGCCCAAGCUGUGAUCAGAAUGCAUUCAAUGCAUUCCUGAGGCUUUCUGCAAUGGAAAUGUGAAUCUUGCCUUCCACUGUCAUUUUAUUCUCAUAAUUCUAAAAUAAACCAACAAGAAAACCAAACAACAACAACAAAAAUCCCCUCUUCUUUAUAUGGAGCAGCUUUUGAAUAAUAACGAGAAAAAAAUUGCUUCAACUCUACUGCAUCCAUAAGGAAUAAUGACAGAAGCGUUCCCAUGUCAGUGUUGCUUUUUGUAGUAGGAAGCAGCGCCUGUAUGACUGCACGCACAAAGAUACCGUGUUGGCUAUACUAACACAGAACUUUAUUUUAGUCAUUUUUUUCAUUUUAUUUCUGCAGCUCGGACAGUCUCUAAGCUCUCCCGACUUGUGAGAACAUCUCCUUUUCAGUGACCAAAGAGAAAGCUUUCAGAUGACAUGUCUGUUCAAGGCAACGCUCUGACAACUUUCCUCAUGGUGACAUCUCAUCUACGUUAAUUAGAGCACUUCCAGAAGAUAGGAUUGCAUCUCAUGAGAAAGCUGGCACUGAUGACUAUGCACAUGUGAUAUCUAUUAGAAAGAUUUCAGGAUUCCCUUGAAAAAUCUCAUGGUUCCCGUGUAACUGAGCAUCAGUCAUUUACUGCUAACCAGGGAAAGCGUUCACACUUCCUGCCUUCUGCUUUGGUAUGUACUGUACAAAGAGACUUUCAGUGGUCAUUGACUGCUUCAACUUGCUGACAUAUAAUUUAGGAAAGCACAGCCAUGUGUUAAAUGAAAGUUUUUAUUUCUCCAAGAUAAAUAGUGGAGAAGGAAUAAAAUGUAAUAGUAAACACAGUACAUAAUGUUUCACUAUGCAAAGGUACACGUGUUUUAAUGCACCUAUUUACACUUCCAAAACAUUAUGCAGUUUGUCAUGCUAAUUAAUAGUUUAUAUUUGCUUUUGUGAGAACUGCUUAAUGUUUAAUACCCAUAUUUUUAUGUGUUACGCCCCUGGUAGUAGUUCUAAAUUAGUCUAAUUUUCAAGGGACUUCUUGCAACAAAGGUAGGCUUAUGUAAAUGUAUUUUGUUUUUUUUAAUGAAGGGAUUAGCGCGUAAGAUUCUGUUUUCAUUUGCGUGCAUUUCACAGCUACUUAUUUCUAACGUAUCUAACAGCUUUUAGACUUUGGCUGGCACCUCAGGAUGUAUGCAAAGCAUAUCCUGUGCAGCCAACUUUGAUGUGGUUUAUAUAAUACACAGACAUGCUGUAUUUUAACAAGUUUCACCAGAACAGCUAUGUCAGCGUCUCCCCCUCCAGCCAACAUCUCCAGGCCAGUAAAACUUCAAAUGUAGACACAGUCUGCUAGCUAAAAAAGAACUUACAUCAGCUCAGUUUGUGUCAUUUUGUAAACUGAUGUAACUUCAGUGGCAAGAAGGCUAUGUGAGCAUCUACAGAUGACUGCACACAUUCAUUUUAGAAACAGCUGUUGUACCAAUUUUUCUGUCUUAGAGGUUGCCCCCCUUACAGCAAAGCCAGGGGAAUGGGACACGCAAACACUGCUCGUUCACACCAAUGCAAAGUGAGUCAAACACUUGAACAGUUUGCACCAGUGAUCUGGACAAACCUGCAGUGUCUAGCUCUGUCAGAUGUUACUCUGAUCAGAUGUUAUCUCCACACUGGAGAUAGAGCUGCGUGUUUCAGCUCCAUUGCUCCAUUCCCAAGAAGAUAGUGGCAGAAAGCACACAGGCAUGCCAUCAUCAGUUUGUCUCAGGUGGCUUAAAAUGAUGGUGAAAUUGAGGUUUGCUAAUACAGCUCACUUUGUACUUAAAUUAAAUAGGAAAAAAAAAUAAAUCACUUUUGUGGGAAUUGUGGUAAUUUACAUUUAUCUUGAGGGAAAAAAAAAAAAAAAAAAAAAAGCAGGAGAAUUGAAAACAAUUGUGCUGCAAUAUACCAGACCCUGACCACAAAGCAAACAUGGAGUGACAGCAGACUUCCUUCCCCUUGCCUAGAUAACUAAGGAAGAAUAUGGUUUUACUCAUGGAGUUUCACCAGGCUAUUCCUAAUCUUGGACUUCCUUUCCUAUACGCUAUCCAUUGUUACAUUACAAAGUCACGGUAUAGGAAAUAGGUGUUCUUAUAUGAACUGGAACCAAAACAGAAUCACAGUCAUACCUUUGAACUCAUACAUAUAAACGUUUCAUCAACAGCAAUACACUUAGGUCUAAUACAUUUGAAUAUUACAUUCAAAAGAUAAUUCUAAGAUGAAAUCUAAGAGUUCAAAGAAUUUUCUGUUGAACAAGAAUCUUAGGGCUAAUCCAAAAUUCAGACACUGAUAUAUAUAUAUGCGUGUAUAAAUCUGAACUAACUUCAUAUGCCUGUUUCAAUGAAAACAGUUUUCUCCAUAGAAUUCAAGAAACAUCAGAUUAAUCAGAAAGCCAGAUGACGGGUGAAAGAAUAUUCAGUUCAGUACAUUAGAAGAUUGCAGGAAUGUUUGAUAGAGACAGACAGAAGUACGAGAAGAUAAAACUUGUAAGGGAGUCUAAAUGUGCCCUAGAGAUGGGGAAUCAAUUAAAACUCAGGUCAGUAUAUUUAAUAAAAUGGAUUGCAGCCAUACACAUCCUAUUGAAAAGGAUAUAAACAACAGGAGGAAGAAAAGCACUGCUUUGUGAAUUUACUCAGUGCUUAAACGAAUACAAACAUUUACAACACUGAACAGAACACAUCAUCCUGACUUUAAAGAAUUGAAUGCUCUUUGCUAAAUGUUUUAACAAAUUGAUUAGCAAGUUCAAAGGAAACAAGAUGCCAACCAGUGUUUUACAUUGCUUUGAAAUACUGAAAGUUUUAUUGUUUUAGUUUAAAAUUGAUCAUGAAUUCAGAAAAUGCAAAGUGAAACAGUUUAAGCGAAGUCCUGAGACCAUCAACAAUUUUAAUGAAGGACAAACACUGAAAAUGAUUGCAGUGAACCUCCUCCAGAGUGAAUGAAAAACAAUUAAACUUUCUGCCCUCUGCUGUUUAAACCUGGUAUUUCUGCACUUCUACAUACGCACAAGUAUAGACUGAAGAAACAUUCCUGCAAUGCAUCAUUCUCCCCACAUACAAAUCUGUGUGAGAGCACGUAACUGAGGGCUGAGUCUAACUCUGCUUUUCAGGGAACUGCCUAUCUUAUGCUGCCAAUGCUUGGACUUUUAGUUCUUUUGUGCACUCAGAAGUCUGCACCAACACGAUGUUCAUCUGAAUUUAGUGGUCUAUCAAAAAAAAAAAAAA